rnacentral:rRNA from 1 species
GUUGAACGCUGGCGGCAUGCCUUACACAUGCAAGUCGAACGGCAGCACGGGGGCAACCCUGGUGGCGAGUGGCGAACGGGUGAGUAAUGCAUCGGAACGUGCCCCGUAGCGGGGAUAACCAGUCGAAAGACUGGCUAAUACCGCAUACGCUCCACGGAGGAAAGCAGGGGAUCGCAAGACCUUGCACUAUGGGAGCGGCCGAUGCCCGAUUAGCUAGUUGGUGAGGUAAAGGGCUCACCAAGGCGACGAUCGGUAGCUGGUUUGAGAGAACGACCAGCCACACUGGGACUGAGACACGGCCCAGACUCCUACGGGAGGCAGCAGUGGGGAAUUUUGGACAAUGGGCGCAAGCUGAUCCAGCCAUGCCGCGUGCGGGAUGAAGGCC